rnacentral:lncRNA from 1 species
CAGGUGGCUUUGUUGACUGAUCAGUAAACCGAUGUCAUGGGACAAGUGUCUCCCUCAACAGGAAAUGCAGGUCCGGCGUCAUAGCUGAAGUUCAAGAACGCCGACAAUCCGCUAAGACAGGCUAACAGAAUAGCCUCUGGGUUCCAAGGCCGCGAAGGAGGCGGGUGGGAGAGGCCCCACUGCCGGGUCAGAGAAACGCUCCUCACCCCAGUCCAACAGCGGCACAGAAAAGGAAAGUGAAAUUGUCUGCAGGAGACAAAAGGAAAGCCCUGUGGACAGGAGCCCCAGGCCCUGCUACUUUCCCCACCAGCUCAGGGGAGAGACGACGUUGCUGGGAUGAACAGUUGGGAAAGGAGGAACAAGGACGAGGCUGACUUGACGUGCCCCGAGCAUCAUCUCCACAUUCACCGUGUUGUCACAUCUAGAUGAUACAAACGCAUCGCGACCGCAGACUUUCCCCUCGGUCAUCUGGUAAGGCAGGUAAAAUGGGGACUAUGAUCCUUCUUUGCAGGUGAGGAAUUGUAAACCUGCUCCAACCUGCCUCACCCUCAAACGUGUUUCCGGGUAAAUUAGCCACGGAGGAUACAAGACAUCUUUGCAAAUUGAUGACUUGGAAAGAAAGAAGAGAAACUCCAUUUUAAAAAACUAGUGUUCAUGCGGGUCCGGCAGGGACUCAGUCCUGUAGGUGCGUUAUCUCAAGCAAUCCUCCCCAAACCCCCUGAGCUGGGGGCUUCAAUGUGGAGAAGAGGCAGAGGACAGAGAAGAAAGAUGCUCUUGUGGGCAGUCAGAGGCAGAGAGGGGACUACAAGGGACUCUGUCUGAAGCUAAGGUCGCUACACCUACUGUUGGGAGAAGUUGAAAUAUGGGCGACUUCUGAUUUGCUUUUGGAUUCUGAGACCCAGCUACCGCCGUGUCAAGAGGUGGUGUGACAGCAGUCACAGCUGUGGCAUGUGGUGGAGAUAUGCCCUGGGCCAGCAGCUGUUGCUAGUCUCAGAACAAUGGCCUCGUUAUUCUGCUCCGAAGGUUUGCUCGCAGUGGAGACUGACUGCCAGCGAUCACACCUGUUCAUGAUUGACCUGGUCAUGGCUGAGCCCGGCUGGAGGAGCUGGACGGUGACAGGAACCCUAGGUCCCCCUAAUGCCACCUCGGAGGAAGCCCAGCCCGUGGUCUCUGUGGCUUGGGGAACAUGAGCUAACUUGGAAGUCACUGGGAGGUCCAGGUAGGACCAGGCACGGCACUCAGAUGCUCCCUCUGCCCGAGCCUGAGUCCAGAGUGAGGCUUCGUACAAGGAGGGUGGCCGGGAGAGAAGAGGAAGAGAAAGGCAGGAGGGAUUCCAGCGAAAGAGAAGGAAGGGCCCACCGGCCGCCAUGUAUGCCUGCCCUCUUGGACCAUCUGGAAAGAAUGAAGAUUGUGCUGCUUUCAUGCCCCAUGCAGCCAGGCACGCCAGGAACAGUGAGGAGAGAGGAAGGGCGUGCGUUUACGGACGGGCAGUCUUCUUUGAGGGACUUGCUGCCUGCUGAGAUGGGUCUCUUCAACUCUCCCUCCUCCUCUGGGACCCCAGGAGGUGAGUGAUUGUCAAAUCUCAGCCUCCUCUCUCAGAUCUGCGCCAAUCUGCCCUCUCCUCUUUUCUCCCUGCUGCUGUUCAGGCCGCCCCGCUCUCUCUCAUCAGGACCAUUGCUUUGGAUAAACUUGGCUCCUCGGCUCUCAUCACUCCAUCAUCCAGGUUCCAUUCUUGGCUCAGAUCUCGGCAAGUUACUUAAAUUCCAGCUUAUGCCUCAGUUUCCUCUUUGGGUGGUUCUGAGGCUUGAGUGAGGUAGUAUGUGCCAAGGUCUUCGAGCAGAGCCCCGCACACAGCAAGUGCCAAAUGCCUGUCGGCCGUUUUUAGGAUUGCCGUUGUUUUCCCUGACAGACCGGAGCUAGCCAGCUGUUUACAAAUGUAUCUAAUCUUGUCACCUUCUGCUUUUAAAUCCAUAAAGGAGAAUUGUUCUUCAAAUGGUGCUGCAAAAGGACCAGGUUAGAUCUGCCCUGAUAACCUACACCGAAAAUGUCUGUGGAUGUGAGAGAGAGGUCAGAAUCAAAAUGACUCCAAAAAACAUGGAGAGAAAAAUAUUUAAUUGAUCUCAGCUCUGGGAAGGAAUUACUGGCAUCAAAUUAACAGAGGGAACUGUUGACGAAAAUAAUCCAUAACCAAUCUAUAAAUGAAAAUUUGGGUGAGUUUAUUCUGAGCUUAAAUCUGAGGAUUAUAACCCGGGGCCUUUCUUCCUGAAGGAAGAAGGGGCACCAAAGAAGUGGGGUGCACAGAGAGGUUAUAUACCCCCAGAGAGGAUGUUUCACAUAGGAUUGAAAUAUCCCUUUUACAAUAGUGGCGAGACUGCUCUGUCUGCACAGCGAUUGAUGGAAAUAGCAGAAUCAUAAACGAAGAUAGCAGUACGUCCACAUAAAAUAAAAAUCUUCUGGAAUAAAAAUAACGCAAAGCAAAAAUAAAUGGUAAAUGUUGCAAAAACAUCAGCAUAAAUAUGGCGGGCAAAGGUUGGAACUCCUUGAUGGAUGGAAGAGCUCUUGUUAACUAAUAGGAAAAAUACAUGCCACUGGAAAACAGUCAAAGAGCAUGCAAGGACGGUUUGAACAUUAAACGUUAAGGUCGAAGAACUCAGAGCAACAAGGGUGAUGUUUACACGUUCCAGAGGCUGAGUUGCAUGAUUUGCAUAUAAUACUUCAUUCAUUCUUCACAAGGGCUCCACGAGGUGGGCUCCAGCCCAACUCUCUGUUUGCUGAUGGGCACAGAACCUCAGAGGGGUCACAGAGUUGUCCCCAAGGUGGCAGGUUCUAGUUGACAGAGCCAAGAUUUGAGCCCACCUUGGAUUCUGAAGACUCAACCUACUGCGGUAUAAAUAAACUUUAAAAAAUAAGCUGUCGAUGAAAAUAAUCCAUAUCCAAUCUAUAAAUGAAAAUUUGGGUGAGUUUAUUCUGAGCUUAAAGCUGAGGAUUAUAACCCGGGAGAGUCUUUCCACAAAGGAACAGAGCACUCCAAAGAAGUGGGGGUAUAAGGGUGGUUAUAUACCCUCAAAGAGGAUGUUUCACAUAGGAUUGAAAUGUCCCUCCCACAAUAGUCGCGAGACUGCUCUGUGGGCACAGCGAUUGAUGGAAAUAGCAGGUAGGUCUGCUGUCUCGGUGAACACAGCAGGGUGGCAGUCUGUUGUCUCCAGCUGGGUGGUCACAGGUGAGCUGGGAGGUGAGUGCAGCAAUCAGUUCCUAGCCUAAGGAAAAAUGCUUAUCCCUAAGGAAAUGCUAAUGUGGGGGAAAGUUGCACCUUUGUCUCAAGGGCCUUUGUUCUGGCCAUAGGAAAUGUCUAAGCAGAUAUGCAAUGCGUGCUCAAUAGCCACAGUCAGGCCCUUUUGAAAAAAAAAAAGUCAGGCCGAAUUAGGUUUAUACCAAAUGGCUUCCUCAUAUACUCCAAUAUAUCCUAUUGCUUGCCAUUUUUAUUUGUCAAAGCUAAUUUUUAAAAACUCAAUCUCACUAACAGUCGAAGAAAUCAAAUCAAAACAAUGAAGAAGCAGAAGCAGCCUCUUCAGCUGUCAGACCAGCGUACUCUUUGAAUGAUGAUGCUCCAUUUCAGUGAAGUUGGGGGUGGGGCAGGCACGCCUGCACUCUGGUCCUCGAGAGCGAAUUGUACAACCUGUUAGAAAGCAAUUUUGAAACGUGUAGGAAGAGCCUCAAAAAAUGUUCUUACUCUUUGCCCUAGAGAUUUCACUGCUAGAAAUGCACGAUAAGGAAGUGGAGAUAUGAUCAAAGAUUGUGAGCGAGAAGGCUUAUUAUAAUAUUAUUUAAAUACAAAUAAGGUUGCAAACAACCUAAAUAUUCUCAAACCAAAGAUGGAUGAAAUAAAUCAUGGUGCUUCCAUAGAGACAUAUUCCAUAGAGGACCCAUGAAAAAGCACAGUUUGGAAAAACUUGAAAAAUGCCAGCAAAAUCUUAGAAGCAGACAGACGGUGCCGAGAUUCAGGAAGGAAGACAUUUACACUGGGUUUUGAGGAAUAAGGGGGAAUUUCCCAAGCAAAGGUGGAGGUAAGAACGCUGCAGACAGAAUUCAAGGACAGUUCCAGAGCCUUGAAGGACAGGCAACAAGAAGGGCCACCACCCUUUGAUGGACGCGGAUGUUGCCUAACGACUCAAGCCAGCAGUCAGGGGGGCAUGAUUCCCUGUUUUCAUCGUCUGUCUCCAGUGGACCAGUUUUUCAAUCAAUCACUGGCAAGUACUGGAUGCCUCUGAAGACAGCACAGGGGUGAGGGGGCGACAAGAGGUGUCCUCCCCAUCCCACCUCUGGCCACUAAGAGGAAAAACAGAGCCUAACGUCACCCUCAGAAGGUCGAACUCCAAAACCCACACCUGUCCCAGCAGAGGUCAGGCUCCCUCACCCUGGACAGCUCCCGCCUUCUCGGGCAGCCAGGACGUGCCAGACCUGAGGUGUUAGCACAUCCAGACAAUGGUCGUUCCAGUCUGGAGGCAGGUCUGGAUGCCUCCGCAGGAGAUGGUAAGGGAAAGGAAUGCUCCAGAACAGAUGCAAGAAGCACUGGCUGGGGAGGGGACUGGGAGCCGGUGGGAGGAGCCCUCUGUUCCAAAAAUGCAUAGCCUGGCCGCCCCUUGCUCUCUCUCCCUGGUGUGGGCUCACCAGCUCCCUUCGAGGAACUUGCCUGUCUGCAGGGAUGACGGGGUGUGGGUCCCUGUCUGGGCUGCCUGACGUAUGUUUUCCUUGUCCUGAGAAGCAGAUGCUGGUUUGUGCCCCAGCGUCUUGUGGGUGCAUCUGUGCUGGAUCCUCUUAAUCUUCUGAGUCAGAGGUGAGACCCAUUUUGCAGACAAGGAAUCAGAGACUCCGAGGGGCGAACUCACUUGCCCCAGCUCGUUGGCAGAGCUGGACCUCGGGCCCAGGUAGUCAGAGCCCGUCUCGCUAGCAGUGGGGGUGAGCUGCCUGGGUGGACAAGGCUCGAGUUUCUAAGCUGGCCCACCUGCUUGAGAACAUGGCACGUGGUGGAGGUUCCUGCUCUCCGAGCUUGGAGCCAGGCAGGGGUCCAGACAUGCGAGCAGGUCAUUUUGUAAACUGGGGUCAGGGACUGGUCAGAAAGUGCUGCAGACACAGCAGGGUGGUAGCCGAGCCCCCAGAAGAAGCUGCUGGUGCUGGGGAGCUGGUGCUGGGAGUGCCGGCUGGACAGGUGCACAAGGGCCUUCUGGCCGAGGGAACGGCAGGUGUCAAGGCUCGGAGGUGUGCCAUGCCAGCUGAGAGGUGGGGCCAGAGUGGUGUGGGAUGAGGUGGGAAGGCAGGAGCCUGGCUUACGAGGAGCCCGGGGGCCACCCGGUGAGCAUCGAACAAUGACCAGGGUGGCUACGGGAUCUCAUCGGUGUUCCAGAGGGUUCUCCAGCUGUCUGGUGGAGGUUUUGAGGAGAAAGAGAGGAUGAAGAGAGAGCGAUGUCCAGGAAAGUUCUCAGUCCCCGGCUUGUGCUGUCAUAGCUGGAGAGAAACACCAACCGCGUAAGAAGGGUCUCUGUUUCUCUGGGAUCACAAGCAAGGGAAGUGGCUGCAGGUGUGGCUGUGGGACUGCCCAGGCGACAUGGGAAAGGAACAGGGGUGGGACCCUUGACUCUUCUGGAAGCAGAGCAACUGCGCGCCGUAGUGCCUUCCCACGGCUGCCCUGGGUUCCCUCGAAAUACCUGCAUGGGGGACCCUCACUUCUCCCUCCUUUCAGCUCCCAGCAUCUGUUCUGCGCCUGCCCGGGGAACUGGCUCUUCCGGUUCUGUAAGCCCGGGAGCUGGGAGUCUAAAUGUGAUCUUGCGAUCUUCUCACCUGGGGAGUCACGGCGGCCCCACAGGAGGUCCCCCAACAGGACGAGGGUCCCCCUCACUCCAGCUGGGCUGGAGGGGGCGGAAGGGAGGGAAGGAAGCUCAGGGCAGAGGGAGGGUUUCCCUCCCACCCUCUCUUCCCCACAUACUUCCUUAUGUCUUAAAUAAUGCUUAGAUGGCCAUGCCCUGAGGGGUAAGUGUUCUCUUUCUCUCAGUUUUGCAGCUGAGGAAACUGAGGCAGAGAGAGGUGGAGGAGCUUGUCCCUCUGUGGACCCGGUGAGCAGGAGAGUCGUUCUGCAAAGCCAGACCGUCUGCACAAGAAACACAUUUAUCCACCACGCCAAUAGUUCUCAGAGUGGGGUCCGCGGCCAGCAGCAUCAGCAGCCCCUGGAACUUGGGAGGAAGGCAAGCUCUCUGGCCCCACCCAGGACCUACAGCAAUGUGGUUUCUCCUGGGGAUUCUGAUCCUUGCUCAGGGGUUUCUUUGCGGAGCACCGAUGCACUGCACGAGGCGUUGUAGGAGAGCGUGCUAAGGACGUGUGUGACUGUGACCAAACCUGAAGCCACCGCCUGCCCUCUCAGAGCCCACGAGGAAGAGCCGUGGACUCACAGCCAGCGCAUCUUGGGUCUGUGGGCAGUUUCAGAGCCUUCUUUGUGGAUACGGAGGCACGGCAUGAAGCCUGAGGCUGCUGGACGUGGGGGGCCUGGAAGGCUGUCAUCAUUUGCAAAACAUCAGGGAGCUGCCACUUAAAACCUGGGGACUCAAUCCACGGGACAGACGUGGACGGCUCUCCUGGCGGACCAGUCGUGUCUGUAAAUACUGCUAUUUACGUUUUAUUCGGGGACCUGUUCGUAAAAUUUCAAGUCAAAUAGGAGAGGAGCAAUGGCAGCUGUGUCCACCUUGAGUCUCUGCUCCAGCAUUUUGCCUAGUGGAUGAUUUUAAGAUCAAAACAGAACUAUCUGGUGCCCCAAAAUCCUGAUGCACAAGCUCCAGGCUGGGGAGCUGCCGCGGAGCCUGGAACGUGGUGCCCGGGUGGUGACAAGCUUCUCUUGACCCUCACACCUCCAGGUUGUUUCUACCCCACCCCCCACAUACUUAGACAUGGUUGUGGGAGACCCAAAGGGAAGUGUGGACCCUCAGCUACCAAAAAAAAUUAAAAAAGAAAGAAAAGCAUUGUUUGUGCAAAGAGCAGGGAGAACCUAAAAAAAA